rnacentral:lncRNA from 1 species
UAUAUUGUAUUCGCUAAUAUAGUGUGACCAAGAUCGCCUCUGUUAAAGAUUCUCAUUGACUCUGCAAUUGCACAUAAAAUUUAAACAGCAAAGCAAAACAAUAAUGACAACAAAAGGAACCCGAGGGCACAGUAAGAGAAACUCCGCUAAUUGCCUUGAGAAAAUAUGCAUUUAUGCCACUUGAUCAGGACAUUUCUCUCUCCUGUUUCUCUUGCAUACUGGGCACAGCCUGAGUCAUUUCCUUUGUCUUGCAGCUGGAAGUAUUGAAAUUAUCCAUAUCCAGCUUAAGUCUAUUAUGUUCACACUGAAGGUUGCAGCUUCAGUGCCUAUGAAGGCCAGCCAGUUGUGCUCUGUCCCAGGGCUACCAUGGCAGGGGAUGCUGCAUGAUUUAUGAAAAUCUUUCAUGGGGACUAUGGAAACAAUCACAGUCCAAAUACUUCAGGGAUGAUGGCUAAGCCUUUAUAUGUAUAGCAUUAAAAGUAAAAAUCCCGGGACACCUGGGUGGCUCAGGGGUUAAGCAUCUGCCUUUGGCUCAGGUCAUGACCCCGGGAUCCUGGGAUCCAGUCCCACGUCGAGCUCCCUGAAGGGAGCCUGCUUCUCCCUCUGCCUGUGUCUCUGCCUCUCUCUGUGUCUCUCAUGAAUAAAUAAAUAAAAUCUUGGGGAAAAAAAAGUAAAAUCCCUACCUUCAAUAGAAGGGAUGCUUUGGUCAUGGAAAGCACAGGAGGCAGCAUCUAGAUGCAGUGUCCCUCCCUCUGUAACUUCACAUCUCUUCCAAACUGCCUCGCCCACAAUGCAAAUUACCAAGGUUUGUGUUAAAUAUGAAAAUGAGUUUUGGGUGCAUUUACUCUGUUUUCUUUUCCUCUGACCAGAAACAGUGUUGAUGGGAUUUGUUGAUUCGUUGAUUGGUUUGGUCAGUUAGUUGUUUUUUUCCCCCCACUAGCCCAAGGCUGCUCAAGUUCUGAUACUGUAUUUGUGUUUUUAAACUAAGUGAUAAAAUGUCUAUUUCUGGGGCUGGAAGAGUUACUCCAAAUAGGAUUUGUAUAUCUUUUUAAAGGAAAAUUUAAAAAAGCAGCUUUUAUAUAACCAACUAAUUGUGCCAGUUUCUCUGCGAUGGCAAGUACAGAAGUGAUUUUUUUAUGUUUAAAGCCAAGGGAUUUAUCUAAUAUCCUAUAUCUGUUAUUUUAAUUAAUCCUUCACAAACACCCACAGCCUUGUGCCUUUUUUUUUUUUUAAGAUUUUAUUUAUUUAUUCCUGAGAGACACAGAGAGAGAGAGAGGCAGAGACACAGGCAGAGGGAGAAGCAGGCUCUGUCGGGGGAACCCGAUGCGGGACUCAAUCCAAGGACCCCGGGGUCACGCCCUGAACUGAAGGCAGAUGCUCAACCACUGAGCCCUGCAAGGGCCCCUCCUUGAGCCUUAAUAUCUUAUAUGGGAAGGCGAAGGUCUAUCUCAAUCCAUAGGUUGCUGGUGGGGUGAUGGGCUCCUCGGUGGCGGGAUCUGGGGGUGUGCGCGUUUGCUUGUGGCCCCCAGGGCCGGGCCGUGAGAUGCUUACGGCACCAACCUGGCAGUGGGACGAUUGUGUGUGGGAGCCAGGCUUUAGAGCUAGAGUCCGGCGGUUGGUCCUUCUGCAGCCGAAGCAGCUGGGCCCCCCGGCGGAGCAGGGUGGCUGCUCCCCACACUUGUUGAUUAACCUGUGAUCAGGUUUGUUGCCCUGACCUUGCAUAAAACACGAGGGUCAGAACGCAGAGUGUGACUAAGGACGCUCCUAAAGCGAGGGAUUCAGCACGUCCGGCGCCAGCUCUGUCUCGCUGGGACCUGGAACAGCUCUUCCGAGACCAGUACAGCGCCUGUUGCUCCUCCCUUCCACGGGAGGGUUUGGCAUGUGUGCCUGGGUGACGUCCAGGACUCCAGCGGCAGGCGGCCCCCCGCACGGGCAGGGGGCAGGCGAGGGGCUCCAGGCCAGGCGGUGACAGCCCGCCAAGGGUCCUCCCCCUAAUACGGGGCAGAGCAAUCCCAUUACACAGGCAAGUGGCAGCAGGGCCCCUGCCCCUGUGCCGACGGCCCCAAGCCUGUUCUGGCUCGAGCUUCCUCCAGCUGGUUGCACAGCUGCCCUUUUUUUUUUUUUUUUUUUUUUUUAUAGCUCUUAGAUUCUGGUUAAGAAUUCUCGUAGCCUCUCUUGAGCAUAAAGAUAAAUCUGACCUCCUUGUGUUCCCAAGGGCCGUAUAUUCCUCCCCUACUCCAUUUCCAGACCAACUUGGAGCCUUCAGCCUUUCUGGUUGGAUUCCAGCUGCCCAGAGUGGGGGACAGUCACAUGGAGACACCCAGAAAACACAACAACCGUGCUUUCUUUUUUACCUGUCGGGCUCCUGUUUCAAAUAACCCUUUAGCCUCUGGUCCUCCACUGGCUGCUGAGGAGGCUCACUCCUUCCUCUUGGGAGCGGAUGAUCUCUGAAGUCCCCUCUGGUGCGUCUCUGGGGUCUCUAGCCUGGCCUUUGUACUGUCGUGGUCAUACCAUCCAGUGGGAGAUGGACGUUCAUCCGUGGACUACUUUUGCCUCCACCAUCCUCACUUGGAUUCCUCUGGCCGUGCAAAUAGUUCAAAGGACCAUCUCCCCUUUCGUAGUAUAUGGAGAACAGAAACUGCUACGGAGAUUUCUCCAGCAUCACGGCGACCUUUAGUCACGGUGUUUCUAAGAAACGAUUGAAUUCUCUAAAUAAAAAUUGGAGACAUGUAUGGAAGAGGUUUCCUUCUUUAUAUCGCUCAAAACUGUGAAGUAACAGUUUAUUUCUUGUUAAAGUCUUUAUAGGAGAUGGUGAAUGUUUAUAUUUUCUACAUUGUGCGUGUUGCUGUACGCUUUCUAAAAGUUCUUGGUUUGUAAAGUUUUGACCAAUAAAUGGGUUUUAACAUGCCCCAGUUGU